rnacentral:rRNA from 1 species
CCUGCCCCAGGCUUUGGGAUAACCCCGGGAAACCGGGGCUAAUACCGGAUAUGACCUUGCACCGCAUGGUGUUUGGUGGAAAGUUUUUCGGCUUGGGAUGGGCUCGCGGCCUAUCAGCUUGUUGGUGGGGUGAUGGCCUACCAAGGCGACGACGGGUAGCCGGCCUGAGAGGGCGACCGGCCACACUGGGACUGAGACACGGCCCAGACUCCUACGGGAGGCAGCAGUGGGGAAUAUUGCACAAUGGGCGGAAGCCUGAUGCAGCGACGCCGCGUGAGGGAUGACGGCCUUCGGGUUGUAAACCUCUUUCAGCAGGGACGAAGCGUAAGUGACGGUACCUGCAGAAGAAGCGCCGGCCAACUACGUGCCAGCAGCCGCGGUAAGACGUAGGGCGCGAGCGUUGUCCGGAUUUAUUGGGCGUAAAGAGCUCGUAGGCGGCUUGUCGCGUCGACCGUGAAAACCUGGGGCUCAACCCCAGGCCUGCGGUCGAUACGGGCAGGCUAGAGUUCGGUAGGGGAGACUGGAAUUCCUGGUGUAGCGGUGAAAUGCGCAGAUAUCAGGAGGAACACCGGUGGCGAAGGCGGG